rnacentral:rRNA from 1 species
GACGAACGCUGGCGGCGUGCUUAACACAUGCAAGUCGAACGGAAAGGCCCUGCUUGCAGGGUACUCGAGUGGCGAACGGGUGAGUAACACGUGGGUGAUCUGCCCUGCACUUCGGGAUAAGCCUGGGAAACUGGGUCUAAUACCGGAUAGGAGCCAUUUUUAGUGUGAUGGUUGGAAAGUUUUUUUCGGUGUAGGAUGAGCUCGCGGCCUAUCAGCUUGUUGGUGGGGUAAUGGCCUACCAAGGCGGCGACGGGUAGCCGGCCUGAGAGGGUGGACGGCCACAUUGGGACUGAGAUACGGCCCAGACUCCUACGGGAGGCAGCAGUGGGGAAUAUUGCACAAGGGGCGCAAGCCUGAUGCAGCGACGCCGCGUGGGGGAUGACGGCCUUCGGGUUGUAAACUCCUUUCGCUAGGGACGAAGCUUUUUGUGACGGUACCUAGAUAAGAAGCACCGGCUAACUACGUG